rnacentral:tRNA from 1 species
GAUGCUUUACGCCAGUUGGUAGACGGCUCUUGUAAAGAGAAGGCGCUGGUUCGAUUCCAGCAAGCAUCA